CUUAACACAUGCAAGUGAACCCCCCGAUGAACCGGAGCUUGCGUCCGGGAUUAGUGGCGAACGGGUGAGUAACACGUGGGCAACCUGCCCCAGACACCGGGAUAACCUUCCGAAAGGAUGGCUAAUACCGGAUACGACCACUUCGGGCAUCCGACGGUGGUGGAAAGGAUUCUGGCCUGGGAUGGGCCCGCGGCCUAUCAGCUUGUUGGUGGGGUAAUGGCCUACCAAGGCGACGACGGGUAGCCGGCCUGAGAGGGCGACCGGCCACACUGGGACUGAGACACGGCCCAGACUCCUACGGGAGGCAGCAGUGGGGAAUAUUGCGCAAUGGGCGAAAGCCUGACGCAGCGACGCCGCGUGAGGGACGAAGGUCUUCGGAUUGUAAACCUCUUUCAGCAGGGACGAAGCGAAAGUGACUGUACCUGCAGAAGAAGCACCGGCUAACUACGUG
rnacentral:rRNA from 1 species